CCAAGAUCAGCUAUUUAAUCCAUUCAGAGGAAGAAAAAUGAUGAUGAGAUAAAAACGCACGUCUAGCAUUUCUUCAUUCUUUAAAUCAUAACAUGUCAUAUUUGAUGGUGUAGCUUGUGCCUAGCUGUGUGUGUUUUCUAAUGGAAGCGGGUCUAGCUCAGAUUACACCGACGCAUCUCUUGUCUGUCAGCUCGGAUGACGAGCCGGGCCAUGGACGGCUGAUCUGACAUAUGUGAUGGAUGUUCAGAUCAAAAUGGAAAUUAAAAAGUUAGUGAGAUGAUUCAUCAUGAUGGACAUGGUGUCUAGGUAAACACUCUGGUUUAAUAUUAACCUUGUACAUAUGCUCUUACACGCAGACGCCCUCGGCUCGGCUAAUCGAGCGGCGCGCUAAAUCUGCCGCAGUAAUAGAUCAGCGGCAAAACAGCGUCAACACCCCGGAUUUUGUGAAUGUUCUGCCGGUGCUGGAUUCAUCAAGAAGAGCGCUGACAGUGAGGCGAACGCUGAAAUGAAUCAGGAUUAUUAAUCGCUGACGCUGAAUGGAGUCUUUCUAAAAUAAACUGCACCCUGAAUGCCAGAAGCACACAGACGCAUAAUUACACGCUAACUCUGCUUCACUUUUGGACCCAGAUCCAACUUUAAGCAGAGCAUCUGGGGCCCGUCCAUCCUCCAGACCGGAGCCAGGCGGAGAGAAGCCGGGGCAGGCCGGGGUCAGACCGCAGCCGCCGUGAUGAGAGAGUAGCCAGAUAGCAAUCGGAUUUUUCUCUCUGAGCUGCAUUGCUACUGGAAGCCUAAACAAGACCUGUGUUUUCAUUUCCAUACGCCACGCUCUCUCUUUUCUUCUGACAGAGAUAAGAUGUAUAAAUUAUGAGCAGCUGACAAAGUCGACUCCAGCGCCCGAGGCUGCUCAUCAAUCAUGUCCUGCGUGUCAGCAGAAGUUGAAAAGCUUCUUUCUUGUGGUCCGGGCCUCGGUCAGGGACCUACAUGAUGAAACUGCGUGAUAUUCCUGGGCUGGAGUCUGCCGAAAGCCGAGGCCUGCUAAUGAGUGUGUAAACAACGCCGCAGAAGAAGACAACAGCUGCCGUGAACGUUCACACCUACGGCGCACGGCGGAGAGAUUCCACCAUGCCUUAAAGCGCGGUCCACUGCGUCUCUGAGUGCCACACUUAACAAAAGCCCUCCGCCUCA
rnacentral:lncRNA from 1 species